rnacentral:rRNA from 1 species
CAUUCGAGUGGCGGACGGGUGAGUAACGCGUGGGUAACCUGCCUUACACAGGGGGAUAACACCUGGAAACAGGUGCUUAAUACCGCAUAAGCGCACAGGGCCGCAUGGCCCGGUGUGAAAAACUCCGGUGGUGUAAGAUGGACCCGCGUCUGAUUAGCUUGUUGGCGGGGUAGGGGCCCACCAAGGCGACGAUCAGUAGCCGGCCUGAGAGGGUGGACGGCCACAUUGGGACUGAGACACGGCCCAAACUCCUACGGAAGGCAGCAG